rnacentral:lncRNA from 1 species
CUCGCCCAAAAAUAACCUCCCGAAGGCCGGGGCGCCAAGUUCGUCCAGCGGAAAAAGGCCCCAAAAACGGGUGGGCUAUAGCCUUGGGGGGUGGGGUUGGCCAACUUCGUCCGCCGGACUCGGAAUGCCACGAGACUUUGCGAGGGCCUCCGUGUGCCAAAAAUAGGCCGCGGGCACACCCGCGCCCAAAAAUAACCGCGCGAAGGCCGGGGCGCCAAGUUCGUCCAGCGGAAAAAGCCCACAAAAACGGGUGGGCUAUAGCCUUGGGGGGUGGGGCUGGCCAACUUCGUCCGCCGGACUCGGAAUGGCGCGAGACUUGGCGAGGGGCCUCCGUGUGCCAAAAAUAGGCCACGGGCAAAGCCACGUCCAAAAAUAACUGCCCGAAGGCUGGGGCUUUAAGUUCGUCCAGCGGAAAAUGGCCACAAAAACGGUUGGACUAUAGCCUUGGGGGGUGGGUCUGGCCAACUUCGUCCGCCGGACUCGGAAUGCCGCGAGACUUUGCGAGGGGCCUCCGUGUGCCAAAAAUAGGCCGCGGGCAAAGGCGCGCCCAAAAAUAACCGCCCGAAGGCCGGGGCGCCAAUUCGUCCGGCGGAAAAAGGCCACAAAAACGGGUGGGCUAUAGCCUUAGGGGGUGGGGCUGGCCAUCUUCGUCCGCCGGACUCGGAAUGCGGUGAGACUUUGCGAGGGAACUCCGUGUGCCAUAAAUAAUCCAUGGGCAAAGCCGCGCCUAAAAAUAACCACCCGAAGGCCGGGGCGCCAAGUUCGGCCAGCGGAAAAAGGCCACAAACACGUGUGGGCUAUAGCCUUGGGGGGUGGGGCAACCCGCCUUCGUCCGCCGGACUCAGAAUGCCGCGAGACUUUGUAAGGGGCCUCCGUGUGCCAAAAAUAGGCCGCGGGCACAGCUGCGCCCAAAAAUAACCCCCCGAGGGCCGGGGCACCAAGUUCGUCCAGCGGUAAAAGGCCACAAAAACGGGUGGGCUAUAGCCUUGGGGGGUGGGGCUGGCCCACUUCGUCCGCCGGACUCGGCAUGCCGCGAGACUUUGCGAGGGGCCUCCAUGUGCCAAAAAUAGGCCGCGGGCAAAGCCGCGCCCAAAAAUAACUGCCCGAAGGCCGGGGCGCCAAGUUCGUCCAGCGGAAAAAGGCCACAAAAACGGGUGGGCUAUAGCCUUGGGGGGUGGGGCGGGCCUACUUCGUCGCCCGGACUCGGAAAGCCGCGAGGCUUUGUGAGGGGCCUCCGUGUGCCAAAAAUAGGCCACGGACAAAGCCGCGCCCAAAAAUAACCGCCCGAAGGCCGGGGCGCCAAGUUCGUCCAGCGGAAAAAGGCCACAAAAACGGGUGGGCUAUAGCCUUGGGGGGUGGGGCUGGCCGACUUCGUCCGCCGGACUCGGAAUGCCGCGAGACUUUUCCAGGGGUCUCCGUGUGCCAAAAAUAGGCCGCAGCCAAAACCGCCCACAAAAAUAACCGCCCGAAGGCCGGGGCGCCAAGUUCGUCCAGCGGAAAAAGGCCACAAAAACGGGUGGGCUAUAGCCUUNNNNNNNNNNNNNNNNNNNNNNNNNNNNNNNNNNNNNNNNNNNNNNNNNNNNNNNNNNNNNNNNNNNNNNNNNNNNNNNNNNNNNNNNNNNNNNNNNNNNAGGGGCCUCCUCGUGACAAAAAUAGGCCGCUGUCAAAGCCGCGCCCAAAAAUAACCGCCCGAAGGCCGGGGCGCCAAGUUCGUCCAGCGGAAAAAGGCCAUAAAAACGGGCGGGCUAUAGCCUUGGGGGGUGCGGCUGGCCCACUUCGUCCGCCGGACUCGGAAUGCCGCGAGACUUUGCGAGGGGCCUCCGUGUGCCAAAAAUAAGCCACGGGCAAAGCCGCGCCAAAAAAUAACCGCCCAAACGCCGGGGCGCCAAGUUCGUCCAGCGGAAAAAGGCCACAAAAACGGGUGGGCUAUAGCCUUGGGGGGUGGGGCGGGCCGACUUCGUCUGCCGGACUCGGAAUGCUGCGAGACUUGGCGAGGGGCCUCCGUGUGCCAAAAAUAGGCCACGGGCAAAGCCACGUCCAAAAAUAACCGCCCGAAGGCUGGGGCUUUAAGUUCGUCCAGCGGAAAAUGGCCACAAAAACGGUUGGACUAUAGCCUUGGGGGGUGGGUCUGGCCAACUUCGUCCGCCGGACUCGGAAUGCCGCGAGACUUUGCGAGGGGCCUCCGUGUGCCAAAAAUAGGCCGCGGGCAAAGGCGCGCCCAAAAAUAACCGCCCGAAGGCCGGGGCGCCAAUUCGUCCGGCGGAAAAAGGCCACAAAAACGGGUGGGCUAUAGCCUUGGGGGGUGGGGCUGGCCAUCUUCGUCCGCCGGACUCGGAAUGCGGUGAGACUUUGCGAGGGAACUCCGUGUGCCAUAAAUAAUCCAUGGGCAAAGCUGCGCCUAAAAAUAACCACCCGAAGGCCGGGGCACCAAGUUCGUCCAGCGGUAAAAGGCCACAAAAACGGGUGGGCUAUAGCCUUGGGGGGUGGGGCUGGCCAACUUCGUCCGCCGGACUCAAAAUGCGGCGACACUUUGCGAGGGGCCUCCGUGCGCCAAAAAUAGACCGCGGACAAAGCCGCGCCCAAAAAUAACCGCCCGAAGGCCGGGGCGCCAAGUUCGGCCAGCGGAAAAAGGCCACAAACACGUGUGGGCUAUAGCCUUGGGGGGUGGGGCAACCCGCCUUCGUCCGCCGGACUCAGAAUGCCGCGAGACUUUGUAAGGGGCCUCCGUGUGCCAAAAAUAGGCCGCGGGCAAAGCCGCGCUCAAAAAUAACCGCCCGAAGUCCGGGGCGCCAAGUUCGUCCAGCGGAAAAAGGCCACAAAAACGGGUGGGCUAUAGCCUUGGGGGGUGGGGCUGGCCUACUUAGUCCGCCGGACUCGGAAUGCCGCGAGACUUUGCGAGGGGCCUCCUCGUGACAGAAAUAGGCCGCUGUCAAAGCCGCGCCCAAAAAUAAUCGCCCGAAGGCCGGGGCGCCAAGUUCGUCCAGCGGAAAAAGGCCACAAAAACGGGUGGGCUAUAGCCUUGAGGGGUGGGGCUGGCCAACUUCGUCCGCCGGACUCGAAAUGCCGCGAGACUUUUUGAGGGGCCUCCGUGUGCCAAAAAUAGGCCGCGGGCAAAGCCGCGCCCAAAAAUAACAGCCCGAAAGCCGGGGAGCCAAGUUCGUCCAGCGGAAAAAGGUCACAGAAACGGGUGGGCUAUAGCCUUGGGGGGUGGGGCUGGCCCACUUCGUCCGCCGGACUCGGAAUGCCGCGAGACAUUGCGAGGGGCCUCCGUGUGCCGAAAAUAGGCCGCGGGCAAGGCCGCGCCCAAAAAUAACCUCCCGAAGGCCGGGGCGCCAAGUUCGUCCCGCGGAAAAAGGCCACUAAAACGGGUGGGCUAUAGCCUUGGGGGGUGCGGCUGGCCCACUUCGUCCGCCGGACUCGGUAUGCCGCGAGACCUUACGAGGGGCCUCCGUGUGCCAAAAAUAGGCCGCGGACAAAGCCGCCCCCAAAAAUAACCGCCCGAAGGCCGGGGCGCCAAGUUCGUCCAGCGGAAAAAAGGCCACAAAAACGGGUGGGCUAUAGCCUUGGGGGGUGGGGCUGGCCUACUUAGUCCGCCGGACUCGGAAUGCCGCGAGACUUUGCGAGGGGCCUCCUCGUGACAAAAAUAGGCCGCUGUCAAAGCCGCGCCCAAAAAUAACCGCCCGAAGGCCGGGGCGCCAAGUUCGUCCAGCGGAAAAAGGCCACAAAAACGGGUGGGCUAUAGCCUUGGGGGGUGGGGCUGGCCAACUUCGUCCGCCGGACUCGGAAUGCCGCGAGACUUUUCGAGGGGUCUCCGUGUGCCAAAAAUAGGCCGCAGCCAAAACCGCGCCCAAAAAUAACCGCCCGAUGGCCGGGGCGCCAAGUUUGUCCAGCGGAAAAAGGCCACAAAAACGGGUGGGCUAUAGCCUUGGGGGGUGGGGCUGGCCUACUUAGUCCGCCGGACUCGGAAUGCCGCGAGACUUUGCGAGGGGCCUCCUCGUGACAAAAAUAGGCCGCUGUCAAAGCCGCGCCCAAAAAUAACCGCCCGAAGGCCGGGGCGCCAAGUUCGUCCAGCGGAAAAAGGCCAUAAAAACGGGCGGGCUAUAGCCUUGGGGGGUGCGGCUGGCCAACUUCGUCCGCCGGACUCGGAAUGCCGCGAGACUUUGCGAGGGGCCUCCGUGUGCCAAAAAUAAGCCACGGGCAAAGCCGCGCCAAAAAAUAACCGCCCGAACGCCGGGGCGCCAAGUUCGUCCAGCGGAAAAAGGCCACAAAAACGGGUGGGCUAUAGCCUUGGGGGGUGGGGCGGGCCGACUUCGUCUGCCGGACUCGGAAUGCUGCGAGACUUGGCGAGGGGCCUCCGUGUGCCAAAAAUAGGCCACGGGCAAAGCCACGUCCAAAAAUAACCGCCCGAAGGCUGGGGCUUUAAGUUCGUCCAGCGGAAAAUGGCCACAAAAACGGUUGGACUAUAGCCUUGGGGGGUGGGUCUGGCCAACUUCGUCCGCCGGACUCGGAAUGCCGCGAGACUUUGCGAGGGGCCUCCGUGUGCCAAAAAUAGGCCGCGGGCAAAGGCGCGCCCAAAAAUAACCGCCCGAAGGCCGGGGCGCCAAUUCGUCCGGCGGAAAAAGGCCACAAAAACGGGUGGGCUAUAGCCUUGGGGGGUGGGGCUGGCCAUCUUCGUCCGCCGGACUCGGAAUGCGGUGAGACUUUGCGAGGGAACUCCGUGUGCCAUAAAUAAUCCAUGGGCAAAGCCGCGCCUAAAAAUAACCACCCGAAGGCCGGGGCACCAAGUUCGUCCAGCGGUAAAAGGCCACAAAAACGGGUGGGCUAUAGCCUUGGGGGGUGGGGCUGGCCAACUUCGUCCGCCGGACUCAAAAUGCGGCGACACUUUGCGAGGGGCCUCCGUGCACCAAAAAUAGACCGCGGACAAAGCCGCGCCCAAAAAUAACCGCCCGAAGGCCGGGGCGCCAAGUUCGGCCAGCGGAAAAAGGCCACAAACACGUGUGGGCUAUAGCCUUGGGGGGUGGGGCAACCCGCCUUCGUCCGCCGGACUCAGAAUGCCGCGAGACUUUGUAAGGGGCCUCCGUGUGCCAAAAAUAGGCCGCGGGCACAGCUGCGCCCAAAAAUAACCCCCCGAGGGCCGGGGCACCAAGUUCGUCCAGCGGUAAAAGGCCACAAAAACGGGUGGGCUAUAGCCUUGGGGGGUGGGGCUGGCCCACUUCGUCCGCCGGACUCGGCAUGCCGCGAGACUUUGCGAGGGGCCUCCAUGUGCCAAAAAUAGGCCGCGGGCAAAGCCGCGCCCAAAAUAACUGCCCGAAGGCCGGGGCGCCAAGUUCGUCCAGCGGAAAAAGGCCACAAAAACGGGUGGGCUAUAGCCUUGGGGGGUGGGGCGGGCCUACUUCGUCGCCCGGACUCGGAAAGCCGCGAGGCUUUGUGAGGGGCCUCCGUGUGCCAAAAAUAGGCCACGGACAAAGCCGCGCCCAAAAAUAACCGCCCGAAGGCCGGGGCGCCAAGUUCGUCCAGCGGAAAAAGGCCACAAAAACGGGUGGGCUAUAGCCUUGGGGGGUGGGGCUGGCCAACUUCGUCCGCCGGACUCGGAAUGCCGCGAGACUUUUCGAGGGGUCUCCGUGUGCCAAAAAUAGGCCGCAGCCAAAACCGCGCCCAAAAAUAACCGCCCGAAGGCCGGGGCGCCAAGUUCGUCCAGCGGAAAAAGGCCACAAAAACGGGUGGGCUAUAGCCUUGGGGGGUGGGGCUGGCCUACUUAGUCCGCCGGACUCGGAAUGCCGCGAGACUUUGCGAGGGGCCUCCUCGUGACAAAAAUAGGCCGCUGUCAAAGCCGCGCCCAAAAAUAACCGCCCGAAGGCCGGGGCGCCAAGUUCGUCCAGCGGAAAAAGGCCAUAAAAACGGGCGGGCUAUAGCCUUGGGGGGUGCGGCUGGCCCACUUCGUCCGCCGGACUCGGAAUGCCGCGAGACUUUGCGAGGGGCCUCCGUGUGCCAAAAAUAAGCCACGGGCAAAGCCGCGCCAAAAAAUAACCGCCCGAACGCCGGGGCGCCAAGUUCGUCCAGCGGAAAAAGGCCACUAAAACGGGUGGGCUAUAGCCUUGGGGGGUGGGGCGGGCCGACUUCGUCUGCCGGACUCGGAAUGCUGCGAGACUUGGCGAGGGGCCUCCGUGUGCCAAAAAUAGGCCACGGGCAAAGCCACGUCCAAAAAUAACCGCCCGGAGGCUGGGGCUUUAAGUUCGUCCAGCGGAAAAUGGCCACAAAAACGGUUGGACUAUAGCCUUGGGGGGUGGGUCUGGCCAACUUCGUCCGCCGGACUCGGAAUUCCGCGAGACUUUGCGAGGGGCCUCCGUGUGCCAAAAAUAGGCCGCGGGCAAAGGCGCGCCCAAAAAUAACCGCCCGAAGGCCGGGGCGCCAAUUCGUCCGGCGGAAAAAGGCCACAAAAACGGGUGGGCUAUAGCCUUGGGGGGUGGGGCUGGCCAUCUUCGUCCGCCGGACUCGGAAUGCGGUGAGACUUUGCGAGGGAACUCCGUGUGCCAUAAAUAAUCCAUGGGCAAAGCCGCGCCUAAAAAUAACCACCCGAAGGCCGGGGCACCAAGUUCGUCCAGCGGUAAAAGGCCACAAAAACGGGUGGGCUAUAGCCUUGGGGGGUGGGGCUGGCCAACUUCGUCCGCCGGACUCAAAAUGCGGCGACACUUUGCGAGGGGCCUCCGUGCGCCAAAAAUAGGCCGCGGACAAAGCCGCGCCCAAAAAUAACCGCCCGAAGGCCGGGGCGCCAAGUUCGUCCAGCGGAAAAAGGCCACAAACACGUGUGGGCUAUAGCCUUGGGGGGUGGGGCAACCCGCCUUCGUCCGCCGGACUCAGAAUGCCGCGAGACUUUGUAAGGGGCCUCCGUGUGCCAAAAAUAGGCCGCGGGCAAAGCCGCGCUCAAAAAUAACCGCCCGAAGUCCGGGGCGCCAAGUUCGUCCAGCGGAAAAAGGCCACAAAAACGGGUGGGCUAUAGCCUUGGGGGGUGGGGCUGGCCAACUUCGUCCGCCGGAAUCAGAAUGCCGCGAGACUUUGCGAGGGGCCUCCUCGUGACAGAAAUAGGCCGCUGUCAAAGCCGCGCCCAAAAAUAACCGCCCGAAGGCCGGGGCGCCAAGUUCGUCCAGCGGAAAAAGGCCACAAAAACGGGUGGGCUAUAGCCUUGGGGGGUGGGGCUGGCCAACUUCGUCCGCCGGACUCGAAAUGCCGCGAGACUUUUCGAGGGGCCUCCGUGUGCCAAAAAUAGGCCGCGGGCAAAGCCGCGCCCAAAAAUAACAGCCCGAAAGCCGGGGAGCCAAGUUCGUCCAGCGGAAAAAGGUCACAGAAACGGGUGGGCUAUAGCCUUGGGGGGUGGGGCUGGCCCACUUCGUCCGCCGGACUCGGAAUGCCGCGAGACAUUGCGAGGGGCCUCCGUGUGCCGAAAAUAGGCCGCGGGCAAGGCCGCGCCCAAAAAUAACCUCCCGAAGGCCGGGGCGCCAAGUUCGUCCCGCGGAAAAAGGCCACUAAAACGGGUGGGCUAUAGCCUUGGGGGGUGCGGCUGGCCCACUUCGUCCGCCGGACUCGGUAUGCCGCGAGACCUUACGAGGGGCCUCCGUGUGCCAAAAAUAGGCCGCGGACAGAGCCGCGCCCAAAAAUAACCGCCCGAAGGCCGGGGCGCCAAGUUCGUCCAGCGGAAAAAGGCCACAAAAACGGGUGGGCUAUAGCCUUGGGGGGUGGGGCUGGCCUACUUAGUCCGCCGGACUCGGAAUGCCGCGAGACUUUGCGAGGGGCCUCCUCGAGACAAAUAUAGGCCGCGGGCAAAGCCGCGCCCAAAAAUAACCGCCCGAAGGCCGGGGCGCCAAGUUCGUCCAGCGGAAAAAGGCCACAAAAACGGGUGGGCUAUAGCCUUGGGGGGUGGGGCUGGCCUGCUUCGUCAGCCGGACUCGGAAAGCCGCGAGACUUUGUGAGGGGCGUCCGUGUGCCAAAAAUAGGCCGCGGACAAAGCCGCGCCCAAAAAUAACCGCCCGAAGGCCGGGGCGCCAAGUUCGUCCAGCGGAAAAAGGCCACAAAAACGGGUCGGCUAUAGCCUUGGGGGAUGGGGCUGGCCAACUUCGUCCGCCGGACUCGGAAUGCCGCGAGACUUUGCGAGGGGCCUCCGUGUGCCAAAAAUAAGCCGCGGCCAAAGCCGCGCCCGAAAAUAACCGUCCGAAGGCCGGGGCGCCAAGUUCGUCCAGCGGAAAAAGGCCACAAAAACGGGUGGGCUAUAGCCUUGGGGGGUGGGGCUGGCCAACUUCGUCCGCCGGACUCGGAAUGCGGUGAGACUUUGCGAGGGGCCUCCUUGUGACAAAAAUAGGCCGCGGGGAAAGCCGCGCCCAAAAAUAACUGCCCGAAGGCUGGGGCGCCAAGUUCGUCCAGCGGAAAAAGGCCACAAAAACGGGUGGGCUAUAGCCUUGGGGGGUGGGGCUGGCCUACUUCGUCCACCGGACUCGGAAUGCCGCGAGAAUUUGCGAGGGGUCUCCGUGUGCCAAAAAUAGGCCGCAGGCAAAGCCGCGACCAAAAAUAACCGCCCGAUGGCCGGGGCGCCAAGUUCGUCCAGCGGAAAAAGGCCACAAAAACGGGUCGGCUAUAGCCUUGGGGGGUGGGGCUGGCCAACUUCGUCCGCCGGACUCGGAAUGCCGCGAGACUUUGCGAGGGGCCUCCGUGUGCCAAAAAUAAGCCGCGGGCAAAACCGCGCCCGAAAAUAACCGUCCGAAGGCCGGGGCGCCAAAUUCGUCCAGCGGAAAAAGGCCACAAAAACGGGUGGGCUAUAGCCUUGGGGGGUGGGUCUGGCCCACUUCGUCCGCCGGACUCGGAAUGCGGUGAGACUUUGCGAGGGGCCUCCUUGUGACAAAAAUAGGCCGCGGGCAAAGCCGCGCCCAAAAAUAACCGCCCGAAGGCCGGGGCGCCAAGUUCGUCCAGCGGAAAAAGGCCAUAAAAACGGGUGGGCUAUAGCCUUGGGGGGUGGGGCUGGCCUACUUCGUCCGCCGGACUCGGAAUGCCGCGAGACUUUGCGAGGGGCCUCUGUGUGCCAAAAAUAGGCCGCGGGCAAAGCCGCGCCCAAAAAUAACCGCCCGAUGGCCGGGGCGCCAAGUUCGUCCAGCGGAAAAAGGCCACAAAAACGGGUGGGCUAUAGCCUUGGGGGGUGGGGCUGGCCAACUUCGUCCGCCGGACUCGGAAUGCCGCGAGACUUUGCGAGGGGCCUCCGUGUGCCAAAAAUAAGCCGCGGGCAAAGCCGCGCCCGAAAAUAACCGUCCGAAAGCCGGGGCGCCAAGUUCGUCCAGCGGAAAAAGGCCACAAAAACGGGUGGGCUAUAGCCUUGGGGGGUGGGGCUUGCCAACUUCGUCCGCCGGACUCGGAAUGCCGCGAGACUUUGCGAGGGGACUCCGUGUGCCAAAAAUAGGAUGCGAGCAAAGCUGCGCCGGAAAAUAACCGUCCGAAGGCUGGGGCGCCAAGUUCGUCCAGCGGAAAAAGGCCACAAAAACGGGUGGNNNNNNNNNNNNNNNNNNNNNNNNNNNNNNNNNNNNNNNNNNNNNNNNNNNNNNNNNNNNNNNNNNNNNNNNNNNNNNNNNNNNNNNNNNNNNNNNNNNNUUGGGGGGUGGGGCUGGCCUACUUCGUCCGCCGGACUCGGAAUGCCGCAAGACUUUGCGAGGGGCCUCCGUUUGCCAAAAAUAGGCCGCGGGAAAAGCCGCGCCCAAAAAUAACCGCCCGAAGGCCGGGGCGCCAAGUUCGUCCAGCGGAAAAAGGCCACAAAAACGGGUGGGCUAUAGCCUUGGGGGGUAGGUCUGGCCCACUUCGUCCGCCGGACUCGGAAUGCCGUGAGACUUUGCGAGGGGCCUCCGUGUGCCAAAAAUAAGCCGCGGGCAAAGCCGCGCCCGAAAAUAACCGUCCGAAGGCCGGCGCGCCAAGUUCGUCCAGCGGAAAAAGGCCACAAAAACGGGUGGGUUAUAGCCUUGGGGGGUGGGGCUGGCCAACUUCGUCCGCCGGACUCGGAAUGCCGCGAGACUUUGUGAGGGGCCUCCGUGUGCCAAAAAUAGGAUGCGGACAAAGCUGCGCCUGAAAAUAACCAUGCGAAGGCUGGGGCGCCAAGUUCGUCCAGCGGAAAAAGGCCACAAAAACGGGUGGGCUAUAGCCUUGGGGGUUGGGGCUGGCCUACUUCGUCCGCCGGACUCGGAAUGCCGCGAUAAUUUGCGAGGGGCCUCCGUGUGCCAAAAAUAGGCCGCGGGCAAAGUCGCGCCCAAAAAUAACCGCCCGAAGGCCGGGGCGCCAAGUUCGUCCAGCGGAAAAAGGCCACAAAAACAGGUGGGCUAUAGCCUGGUGGGGUGGGGCCGGCCAACUUUGUCCGCCGGACUCGGUAUGCCGCGAGACUUUACGAGGGGCCUCCAUGUGCCAAAAAUAGGCCGCGGACAAAGCCGUGCCCAAAAAUAACCGCCCGAAGACCGGGGCACCAAGUUCGUCCAGCGGAAAAAGGCCAUAAAAACGGGCUAUAGGCUUGGGGGGUGAGGCUGGCCAACUUCGUACGCCGGACUCGGAAUGCCGUAAGACAUUGUGAGAGGCCUCCGUGUGCCAAAAAUAGGCCGCGGCCAAAGCCGCACCCAAAAAUAACCGCCCGAAGGCAGGUGUGCCAAGUUCGUCCAGCGGAAAACGGCCACAAAAACGGGUGGGCUAUAGCCUUGGGGCGGGGGGCUGGCCAAAUUCGUCCGCCGUACUCGGAAUGCCGCGAGACUUUGCGAGGGGUCUCCGUGUGCUAAAAAUAGGCUGCGGGCAAAGCCGCACCCAAAAAUAACCGCCCGAAGGCCGGGGCGCCAAGUUCAUCCAGCGGAAAAAGGCCACAAAAACGGGUGGACUAUAGCCUUGGGGGGUGGGGCUGGCCCACUUCGUCCGCCGGACUCGGAAUACCGCGAGACAUUGCGAGGGGCCUCCGUGUGCCAAAAAUAGGCCACGGGAAAAGGCGCGCCCAAAAAUAACCGCCCGAAGGCCGGGGCGCCAAGUUCGUCCGGCGGAAAAAGGCCACAAAAACGGGUGGGCUAUAGCCUUGGGGGGUGGGGCUGGCAACUUCGUCCGCCGGACUCAGAAUGCCGUGAGACUUUGCGAGGGGCCUCCAUGUGAUAAAAAUAGGCUGCGGGUAAAGCCGCGCCCGAAGGCCGGGGCUCCAAGUACGUCCAGCGGAAAAAGGCCA